rnacentral:piRNA from 1 species
UGAUUGGUUGGACUGAAAGGCUUGC